GCCUGGGUGGUGGAACUGGUAGACACAGGGGACUUAAAAUCCCCAGCCUGUAAAGGCGUGCGGGUUCGACUCCCGCCCCGGGCA
rnacentral:tRNA from 1 species